rnacentral:rRNA from 1 species
UACGGAGGGUGCAAGCAUUAAUCGGAUUUACUGGGCGUAAAGGGUGCGUAGGCGGAUAGGAAAGUCAGGUGUGAAAUUCCGGUACUCAAUACCGGAGCUGCACUUGAAACUCCCUGUCUGGAGGGUAGGCGGAGAGAACGGAAUUCCAUAUGUAGCGGUGAAAUGCGUAGAGAUGUGGAGGAACACCAGUGGCGAAGGCGACUCUUUGGCCUGUAACUGACGCUGAGGCGCGAAAGCGUGGGGAGCAAACAGG